rnacentral:lncRNA from 1 species
CGCCGCUGCCGCUGCCCACGUCCGGACCCAUCCGGGGUUCCGCUCGCGGCAACGCGGUAGCAGCCCGGGCAGGUGGGUCGCCGCCAGGCUGAGGUGGCGCCCAAGACGCGCCUGAGCUCGCCCAGGAUGGGCAGCAGUAGCCGGAGAAAGCCGCCGCCGCCGGCCCCACCCCAGCACCAGCGCCCCGGCCGGGGGGAGGCGGGGGCAGCCACCUGGCCCGGACGGCUGCGGUCUGGAGGGCUGUCAACAAAGUGGUGUAGGAGGACGCCAGUUACUGCACGGAAAGCAGCGUCAGGAGCCAUAGUACCUACAGCAGCACUCCAGGUACCCACUCAGCCCAGUUGCUGCAGACUCCUUCCCCACCUUCUCUGCCCUCCCCCUUUGCUCACUCGUGUGCUGUGCAUCCUGCUCCGAUCUCCCCCCAACCCCGCCGACCCCCAGAGGGGAAAUGCGAGGGCACAUCAAGUGGCAAAAAACCAGAUUUAUAGGAGGAAAGAGGCGCAUUGUUCAAAAUGGAGAUUGCAUUGUUGCAGUUGGCGGGCCACACUCGCUCUCUCUUCCCGCCUCCCGCCAACCUCCUCUUUUUCCUCCUCAGAAUUUGUACCAGUGUAGUGUCUCCACCGGGCAAGAUUGAAACUUGGGCAAACACAUAUCCAUUGCUUUCAUUUUUUCCCCUUGUUUUGGUAGUUUUCUGGAAUGAAAGAAGCCUCUUGUUUUGCAAACCUCUUUUCAUUUCUAAUGUGGUUCCUUUCGGAUUUUUAUUAUAUAUCUGUUCCUUAAAAGGGAAUUAAGGAUUUGGACAGAUUGUGUGCCACAAUCUGUUUUCACACCCCUAGCUGUGGUUUUAAAAUUAUGUUAAGGAAACGGAUCAUUUGGGUUAGUAGGGGAACCUUAUCUGGUCUUGUGUGUUUGUUUUUAUUCUUCGAGUGCUAACGGGCCCGUGCAACAGUUUCUGGUAAAUGGCUGAUUAAAAAGCAAAGCAGAAAGCCAAACAAGACCCAACGAAAUUUGGUAAUUCAUCUGAUUCAAAAUUGUUUUGGUUAAAUCAAAAAUUUACAAGACCGCAGGAACACGCGUCUUAACUCAUUUGAUCGCUUUGCCUUGCUUGGGAAAUGCAGGUUCGUGUCACCUGUUGCAGAAGAUGUGUAGUUGAUCAUCUAGGCAUAAGUGCCUAAGAUGAACUUUUGGACCAACUUCUAAGUCACACAGCGUCAGUAUCAGAUUUAUUACACAACGACUUAUUCUUUUCACUCUAUUUCUGAGGAAAAAGCCCUCCCGAAAUCCGUAAUGAAUUUCUCCAUGGUAACCCCUCUUCUGUUUACACACAGAAAAGUUUCUCUAGGCUGGUGCUGAGAUGCAUUUUGUUAACCGCCCCGCCCCGCCCCGCCCCGCCCAAAGGCUGCUUUGUAUUAAAUACGUAGUUGCAGUGUACUAAAUUGUGAAAUUAACAUAACCGAAGCAACAACCGGCAAGACUUGUCCUUUAUAAUUUUGCAAAUCUAAAUUAAUUAAAUUAGAAUCUGGUUUUAAAAUCAUUUUUAAAAUAAAGUUUAUGAGGAAGUAUUUGUGAGGAAAAAGGACCCUUUUUUCCUUGAAGUGAGGUGUGUCCUGUCUUUCUCAGAGAGACUAGGGUAGUAGAAGUGGUUAAAUUGAAAAGUUUCUGUUUUUUAAUAAAUGCUUAAAUACUUAUUGGAGAAGUAGGGUAGUAUUAUAUUAAGCCAAAUGUAAACCCACGUAGGUUGUCCUAACAUAAACUGAAAAAAGGUAAUUUCUUUUGCCCGAUGGUCAGAAUCCUCGCCAGACUUGCCCUGGGAGGCUGGCUGGAGAAUGAAGGGAAUGAAUCAAAUGUCAGAUAUUUAUGUCUUAUAUGUAAAAAGGAGUACAUGUAAAUUCUUGCCAACUUAAUUUUAGUGCUUUUUUUUUUUUUUUUAAAGGAGUCUUGCUCUGUCGCCUAGGCUGGAGUGCAAUGGCGCAAUCUUGGCUCACUGCAACCUUCACCUCCCGGACUCAAGUGAUUCUCCUGCCUCAGGCUCCCCAGCAGCUGGGAUUACAGGCGCCCACCAGCACGCCUGGCUAAUGUUUGUAUUUUUAGUAGAGAUGGGGUUUCACCAUGUUGGCCAGGCUGGUCUCGAACUCCUGACCUCAUGAUCCGCCCACCUCAGCUUCCCAAAGUGCUGGGACUAAAGGCGUGAGCCACCGUGCCUGGGCUAGUACAUCUUUUAUAGUAAUAAUUUUUACCUUAAGAAAUCACAUGUUGGUCUUUGUACCCAGAGCCGGUAAUUGAAACAUGGAGACUGGAUUGCAUACACCCCUGGAGGAAGUUUUUUCUGGUUAGACAGAGCUGAGACAUUUUGGCAGGGCAGUUCAGCUAACUUUAAGUCGUAUUUGAAGGCCUAGCAAAUAAUAUUUAGGAUUGAUGGCUGUGCAUAUGCUGACUUAAAUUACAAUUUGUAGCUAGGUGUUCUUUAAAAAAAUGUGUUUACUUUUGAUACUUUUGUGACAUUUUGUUUUUCUUUUUUUGAGAAGGAGUUUUGCUUUUGGUGCCCAGGCUGGAGUGCAAUGGUAGAAUCUCGAUCUUGGCUCAAUGCAACCUCUGCCUCCCAAGUUCAAGCAAUUCUCCUGCCUCAGCCUCCCAAGUAGCUGAGAUUACAGGCAUGCACCACCACGCCUGGCUAAUUUUGUAUUUUUAGUAGAGACGGGGUUUCUCCACGUUGGUCAGGCUGGUCUCAAACUCCCGACCUCAGGCGAUCCGUCUGCCUCAGCCUACCAAGGUGCUGGGCCUACAAGCGUGAGCCACCAUGCCUGGCCUGAGAUUUUGUUUUUCUUAAUGACACCUGUAGCCUACUGUGUGUCUACUUGUCCUAUCCUUAUAUGAAAUUAUUAACUCUGUAGAGAUAGGUAUUGAGCGUAUUCCCUCUGCAGCUCCUGUAAGUGUUUUGCACAUAGCAAGUGCUCAUCAAAGAUUGGUUGGAUAAAUUAUUGUUAGUAGAUGAGAACUUGUAGUACAUGAAGUUUCGAUAAUUCUACAGUGGGUGUCAUAACCCCUAAAUAUUUUGGAUUUAGGAAACUAAAAAUUGUCCUAAUUGGUUUUUUGUUGUUGUUGUUCUUUUCUAAUUGGAUUUUGAUGGACAAUUUGAUCAGUGAAUGUCUCGCUCUGUUGCCCAGGGAGGAGUGCAAUGGCACGCACGAUCUUGGCUCACCACAACCUCCACCUCCCGGGUUCAAGCAAUUCUCCUGCCUCAGCCUCCUGAGUAGUUGGGACUACAGGUGCACGCUGCCACACCCAGCUAAUUUUUUGUAUUUUAGUAGAGAUGGGGUUUCACCAUGUUGCCCACACUGUUCUUGAACUCCUGAACUCAGGCAAUCCGCCCGCCUCAGCCUCCCAAAGUGCUAGGAUUACAGGCAUGAGCCACCUGGCCUGGCCCAGUGAAUGUUUUUCAUUGCAAGAGUUACUUUGUUUUUGAGUUGCUAUUUCAUAUUGCUUGCCAGGCGUUUUCCUUUAUUGGCUGUGAUGUUAAUUUGGAUGUUUUACCUUUUGCAAAGCAUUAUUUCUUAAGAUUAUGGUAAAAUGGAUGUGACUUUUUUUUUUCCUUAUUUCUUCUAAAAACAAAAUGGAGUACAUGUGCAGAACGUGCAGGUUUGUUGCAUAGGUAUACGUGUGCCAUGGUGGAUUGCUGCACCUAUUGACCCACUCUUUAAGUUCCCUCCCCUCGCCCCCCACCCCCCGGAUGUGAGUGACAUUUUGAGUUCCAAACUUUUAGAACAUGCCCACUUGCCUCGAAUGAGUAACAACGCGUGACAGUGAGUUGUUUAGGCUAAGUACUAGUUUCAUUGGUUUUAUAGUCUGUACUUCCUGGGUGGAAGGCUGUCAGGUAAAUGUGUAGAUGGAAGAAAAAAAUUUUAGAACUGGUUUAAGAUAUCUGAAUAACACACAAAGAAGUAUGAUUGAUGAAUUUGAAUCCUGUUGUACUGCAAAGGCUGAAAGAGGAAUUUACUUUAUUGGUAAUUUAGAGUAAUUUGAUUAAUUUUUAUAGUUUACAGCGUUGGCUUAAUUACUGACAUGUGACAUUCCUAACAUAAGAAAUAACUCCUAAUAUAAGAAAUAACUCAGUAUUUUGUAGGUUAUAUAACAAUGCAGAGGCAUUAAUUGAUAUUACUAAAGUCAUGAAAGGUUUAUUUAUUGAAGAUUGUUUUCCUUUUAUGGAAAAAAUGUAAGGAUGACAACUUUUUAGUAUAAAAUUGCAACCACCUAGUUUUGCUUUAGCCGAAAGCAUAUGGCUGAAUAAUGCUUUAAUUUAUUUUUACUUUUUAAAUUUAGAAUUACUUCAGCCUAUAGAUUUUAUGACAUUGCCGAUAUAA